CGCGUAGGCGGUUUGUUAAGUCGGAUGUGAAAUCCCCGGGCUCAACCUGGGAAUUGCAUUCGAUACUGGCAGGCUAGAGUAUGGUAGAGGGAAGUGGAAUUUCAGGUGUAGCGGUGAAAUGCGUAGAUAUCUGAAGGAACAUCAGUGGCGAAGGCGACUUCCUGGACCAAUACUGACGCUGAGGUGCGAAAGCGUGGGGAGCAAACA
rnacentral:rRNA from 1 species